AUUGAACGCUGGCGGCAUGCCUUACACAUGCAAGUCGAACGGCAGCACGGGUGCUUGCACCUGGUGGCGAGUGGCGAACGGGUGAGUAAUACAUCGGAACAUGUCCUGUAGUGGGGGAUAGCCCGGCGAAAGCCGGAUUAAUACCGCAUACGAUCUACGGAUGAAAGCGGGGGACCUUCGGGCCUCGCGCUAUAGGGUUGGCCGAUGGCUGAUUAGCUAGUUGGUGGGGUAAAGGCCUACCAAGGCGACGAUCAGUAGCUGGUCUGAGAGGACGAACAGCCACACUGGGACUGAGACACGGCCCAGACUCCUACGGGAGGCAGCAGUGGGGAAUUUUGGACAAUGGGCGAAAGCCUGAUCCAGCAAUGCCGCGUGUGUGAAGAAGGCCUUCGGGUUGUAAAGCACUUUUGUCCGGAAAGAAAUCCUUGGCCCUAAUACGGUCGGGGGAUGACGGUACCGGAAGAAUAAGCACCGGCUAACUACGUG
rnacentral:rRNA from 1 species